rnacentral:rRNA from 1 species
GCUUACGGCCACACCGCCUGGUUCACGCCCGAUACGUUUGAUCUCGGAAGCUAAGAUAGGUUGGGCCUGGUUAGUACUUGGAUGGGAGACCGCCUGGGAAUACCAGGUGCUGUAACUU